rnacentral:rRNA from 1 species
UUAUUAAUAAGAUCUUUUAAAAAAAAUUAUGCUGUUAUCCCUAAGGUAAUUAAUUUUAUUUUUAAAAUUUAAGAUAUUUUAUUCAAUAAUUAUUGUUUAAUAAAAAAAAAAUUUUUUAAAUUUUUAAAUUACCCCAAUUAAAUAUAUUUUUUUAAUAUAAAUAAAUUAAUAAAGUUUUAUAAUAAAAAAUAUAUAAAAUUCUAUAGGGUCUUGUCGUCUUUUAAAUUUAUUUAAAUUUUUUAAUUUAAAUAAAAAUUUAAAUUUUUAUUUAAUUGAAACAGUUUAUAUUUCAUUUAAUCAUUCAUACUAGUUUUUAAUUAAAAAACAAAUUAUUAUGCUACCUUUGUACAGUUAUAGAUUCUGCAGCCAUUA